GGGGAUCCAGAUUGGAAUAAUAGUUAAAAAAUUGUUCAGCCUUGAAGAUCCAUGGAAGCACAUUAGAACCAUCAAAACGUGGAAAAUCCAAUUUGAUGUUGAGGACCUGAAAUGGUUGUGAGUUCCUCACUAAAGCACUUGAGUUCGCACCAGCAAUGAAUUUGCAAGAGCUCCUUCGAUUUGGGUAAAUCUAUCAGUGUAAGCUUGAUCGCGUUUUUCCAACAUUUCCAAGAUCUUCUUGAUGUUAGAGUCCAGAUCCUUCAAUCGAGUAUUUUCAGCCAUGGUGGAGAAUGAAAGCACCAAUUGUAAGGGAACUCAAAUGUUGGUAGUAAGUACACAAAAUAUAGCUGAAAGAAUCCUGUAAUUUGUAUUUUGUAAAUGUGUGGGUUUUUUACAAUGAUGAGGACCACCACUUAGAUGAUGCUGGUGAUUACAGGAAUAGUAAUAAAAAACAAGAAACAAGAAGAAAUAGAAUAUUGUAGAAGAAGAAGAAUCCUAGAGAGUGGGCCAAGGAAGAAGAAUCAAUUAGUACUUUUUUCUAGCCUCCCUUUUCCUUUUUCCUUCCUUUUAUCCUUACUUCUUUU
rnacentral:lncRNA from 1 species